rnacentral:tRNA from 1 species
UAGCUUAGUGAUAAGAGUGUGUGCUUAGCAUGCAUGAGGUCCUGGGUUCAAUCCCCAG